rnacentral:rRNA from 1 species
CUACGGGUGGCAGCAGUGGGGAAUAUUGGACAAUGGGCGAAAGCCUGAUCCAGCCAUGCCGCGUGUGUGAAGAAGGCCUUCGGGUUGUAAAGCACUUUCAGUGGGGAAGAAAGCCUUGGGGCUAAUACCCUCGAGGAAGGACAUCACCCACAGAAGAAGCACCGGCUAACUCCGUGCCAGCAGCCGCGGUAAUACGGAGGGUGCGAGCGUUAAUCGGAAUUACUGGGCGUAAAGCGCGCGUAGGCGGUCUGAUAAGCCGGUUGUGAAAGCCCCGGGCUCAACCUGGGAACGGCAUCCGGAACUGUCAGGCUAGAGUGCAGGAGAGGAAGGUAGAAUUCCCGGUGUAGCGGUGAAAUGCGUAGUGAUCGGGAGGAAUACCAGUGGCGAAGGCGGCCUUCUGGACUGACACUGACGCUGAGGUGCGAAAGCGUGGGUAGCAAACAGGAUUAGAUACCCUGGUAGUC